UACAGAGGGUGCAAGCGUUAAUCGGAAUUACUGGGCGUAAAGCGUGUGUAGGUGGUUUUCUAAGUCAGGUGUGAAAUCCCCAGGCUCAACCUGGGAACUGCAUUUGAUACUGGAAGACUAGAGUGUGGUAGAGGAUAGUGGAAUUCCCGGUGUAGCGGUGAAAUGCGUAGAUAUCGGGAGGAACAUCAGUGGCGAAGGCGGCUAUCUGGACUAACACUGACACUGAGACACGAAAGCGUGGGGAGCAAACAGG
rnacentral:rRNA from 1 species